GAUGAACGCUAGCUACAGGCUUAACACAUGCAAGUCGAGGGGAAACGACAUCGAAAGCUUGCUUUUGAUGGGCGUCGACCGGCGCACGGGUGAGUAACGCGUAUCCAACCUGCCCACCACUUGGGGAUAACCUUGCGAAAGUAAGACUAAUACCCAAUGACGUCUCUAGAAGACAUCUGAAAGAGAUUAAAGAUUUAUCGGUGAUGGAUGGGGAUGCGUCUGAUUAGCUUGUUGGCGGGGUAACGGCCCACCAAGGCGACGAUCAGUAGGGGUUCUGAAAGGAAGGUCCCCCACAUUGGAACUGGGACACGGUCCAAACUCCUACGGGAGGCAGCAGUGAGGAAUAUUGGUCAAUGGGCGAGAGCCUGAACCAGCCAAGUAGCGUGCAGGAUGACGGCCCUAUGGGUUGUAAACUGCUAUUAUAAGGGAAUAAAGUGAGUCUCGUGAGACUUUUUGCAUGUACCUUAUGAAUAAGGACCGGCUAAUUCCGUGCCAGCCGCCGCCGUAA
rnacentral:rRNA from 1 species